UCCCUGGUGGUCCAGUGGUGAGGACUCUGUACUUUCACUGCUGUGGGCCCAGGUUCAAUCCCUGAUUAGGGAA